ACUGGGAAAUCAUCUUUGGAUCAUAUGACUAAAAUAAUGCGAUUUGAUUCGUUAAUGUACUGGCCAAAGAUGGAGGAGUUUUAUGGGCGUGGAAGAGGAAAAGGUUUUUGAAAAAUGGUGGCAAAAUAGUAUAACUGAAGUUCUCAUCCGUUCGCAUCUGUUUACAGUAGCAUCGGAAAGUUUCAAAGCAUGUAAUAACAUGCUACAGGAAUUUGAUGUCAUCCCAGUGAAUAAAUUGAUGUGCUAGGCGAUGUAUCCAUCCAUUUGCAGCUGGAAUGAGGAUUAGUCCCGGACUGCACACUAAUUGUACGGAGUUUCUGUGUGGAUACUCGUUUUGGUAAAUUGCAUUCUCUAUAUGAAGAACAUCAUUCAGUGCAAACCAAGCAAGGAGAAUCCAGAACUUCUUUGCCUGCUGUCAGCAUGUUGUCUGUGAGGAGUUUGCCUUCUUACCAAGGAAGGAGCAUCUGAUCCGUCUUCCCCUUCACACAUUCAUUGUGAACCAACCACAGGGUGGCCAUGUGACAGACUUUAUAUGAUGUCUUAUUUGUUAGCAGCGUGGAGAGGCACCAGUGAUGAAAUAGAUGUUCCAGCUGCAGGAGGAUGCAAGUGGGUUUGGGCUGAACCCUCCUCCUCCUCCUGUGGAAAGACAGCCAGGAAAUUCUCCAGCUCUGACUGAACACCAGCUCUGAGGAGCUCAUGAAGGGAAGUCCUGGAGGGAUGAGUGAGAGAACUGCUGUACCAAGUGAUGCGAGAUGUCAUUCAGAUGUAGCACGGAGCACCCUGGAAGUCCCAAAGUUCAAGGGCAUCAGCGAAGAAAUUUCUGUUCCGGCUAUGGAGGAAUGUCAUUGGGUUUGGACAAGGAUGCCUGAAGUCGCCCUUCACCCUCUGCAUGUACCAUCUACAGGAUGGCCACUGACAUGAUGCUGAGGAAGAAGAGUCAGAAAAUGCUCCAGCUGUGAGGAGUUCCUGUAGAGAAGGAAGUGAAUGCAUCACAGACACCAUGGAUCAGAUGUGACGUGGGAGCGAGGAGUUCAUAGAGACCAAGUUGGGGAGAUCACAAGGAUACUCAUGGAUGGCUUCACGUUGCAGAGGACAUGUGUGGGGCCCCAUGGAAAUUUAUUUCCUACGAGAUA